AAACAAAAGUGAUGUUUUCACGCAAUGCAUUUCUAGUAGACACAGUGAAUAAAAGUAAAGGCGCUGUUCUGAAACUGGAUUCCAUUGAAGGUGGAAAGUUAUGGAAAGGAAUUGAUGUUUUGAUAUUCAAUACUUGGCAUUGGUGGCUUCACACUGGAAGAAAACAACCAUGGAAUUUUAUCCAAGAGGGGAACAAUGUGUACCAAGACAUGGAUCGAUUGGUAGCAUAUGAGAAGGCUUUGAAUACUUGGGCUAAAUGGGUUGACACCAAUGUAAA